ACGCCCAUGCCCCAAACCCGUGUGAAUUUAAUUCCAAAUUCGAACCUACAAAGGUUUUCACACGGCCGAGCACACGCCCAUGUCUACAUCCUGUGUUCCUCACAUGGCUAUGACACGCUCGUGUCGUAACCCGUGUGUAAAAACCUUGACAUUUUGUUUCUGACGUCAUCAACUCUUAAGGGUCACACGGCCAAGGCACACGCCCGUGUGCUAGGUCGUGCCCUUCACAUGGCUAAGACACACGGUCGUGUCUCUUCCCGUGUGUUUACUACCAUGCAUACUAACUUGUAAAAUUGAAGUGCAGGGGACACAUAGCCGGACUCCACGCCUGUAGGGCAGACCAUGUGUCACACACGGUCUAGACACACACCCGUGUGUCUGCCCAUGUGGACAAAAAUAUGGCUAUUUACCAAGCCUCAUUGCCACCCUUACUUGCACUAACUUACACAAGAUCAACCAACCCAAUACAAGCAUAACAUAUAUAACCAAAUCAGACACAAUCAUUGGAAAUUUGCAUCAAAUGC
rnacentral:lncRNA from 1 species